GACCAACUAAGUUAGUUCUUGGUAUGAGCUUUCGUGUGCAAGCACACUUCUUCAGAUACACACUGUGUAUCUGAAGAAGUGUGCUUGCACACGAAAGCUCAUACCAAGAACUAACUUAGUUGG